rnacentral:rRNA from 1 species
UACGUAGGGUGCGGGCGUUAAUCGGAAUUACUGGGCGUAAAGCGUGCGCAGGCGGUUCGUUAAGUCAGAUGUGAAAGCCCCGGGCUCAACCUGGGAACUGCAUUUGAAACUGGCGGGCUUGAGUAUGGCAGAGGGGGGUGGAAUUCCGCGUGUAGCAGUGAAAUGCGUAGAGAUGCGGAGGAACACCGAUGGCGAAGGCAGCCCCCUGGGCCAAUACUGACGCUCAGGCACGAAAGCGUGGGGAGCAAACAGG